CCCGCGCCGGCGCCGCCCCGCAGGCGCCUCUCGGUGUCGGUGCGAGGUUUGAAUUGCGGACGAUCUGAGGAAACUCCAGCCCCAUCUCUGAGUUAAACACUCGGAGGAAAAAUAGGGAUUUGCAUUUGAAGCUCUGAAUAAGACGGGACAUUUUUUUCCCCUCCUUAGUCCGUUUUGAGAGGUUAUUUUACAUUUAAUGACAAUCAUGACUACCACGUAUCGAAUUCUUAUUACCCUUGGACAAGGCAUUUAACACACACAUUAUUUCAUUCAAUCCUUAGAACAACCCCCAAUUUCUUAUCCCCAUUUUACAGAGGAGGAAAACUGAGGUUCAGAAAGGAGAAGAAACUCGUCCAAGAGGUUUUGACCCCAUUCCUUGGUGCCAUUUCUUCUUUAUCACCGUGGAAAUAUCCACUGAGGUUAAUAGCUGGUUGUGGAAGGCUUCUGAGGAGAUACCUGAUUAAAGGGAAGAAGACUUUUUCACUAAUAACACAUUGGCCUCAUCUAACUCCCUGCAUCUUUUUUUUUUUUUAAAGGUCGAUAUUCUGAAGGAGAAAUACAUGCGGAAGAAACAAAUGUGGAAGAAAAUGAAGUGUAAGCAUUUGGAGGCCAAAACAUGCUUCAGCUGUGCUUUAAAGAAAGAAAAUGGGCUUUUUGGAACCCUGGAUCUGAUUUCAUCCAAAGUAACUCCUGAAUACCGACCUACACAGAGACACCAUCAACUUCCAUGGAACUACAGAGAAAACAUGGAUUUAAUUCACGUUUUGCUGAGCUAUUUAACUUUGCAAAACUGAUUUAGAA